GGUUGUUCCGCCACGUUUGAGCGGGCGAGCCCGGCGGCCGGGAGACGCCAGGGAACGGGGCUGGUGGGGGUACAAAGGCUCGGUUCCGUCGCCUUCAGCCCUGCGGUGGGGGCACGGGGCAAGUGAGGGGACGGCAGAGGCGGCGUUCGGUGUGAGGCUGCGCCCUGGGCUCCUGAAAAUCCAGGGCUGCAGUCAUUUGAAGGCUUGACUGGGGCUGGAGGAUUUUCAUCCAAGAUGGCUCACUCACCCAGCUGUUGGCAGGAGACCUCGGUUCUUUGACUUCUCCGUAAGACUGUGGACUGGGGACUAAAGGCAAUAGCUUGACUUCUGAAAAGGGCUGGACUGAAGGUCAGCCACAUGGGCAGUGUGAAGGAUCCCCAGCAAAACUCUGGACAUCAGUGGCUGGGCAAGCUUCUCUGGUUGGCGGUACUCUGCAUAUUGUCACACAUCAACUCUGGGAGAAGAUCAUACUGUUCAUGUCUCCACAAGGGGAGGACAGCUGGAAACUCAGUGUCUGGACCUCUUUCCUUGGCUGAUUUUAUUGUUACAGGACAUUUACUUUGUGGACUGCCAUUCAAUUUGACAACAGAUUUGUUUUUAAUGUGCACUUUCUGGAAACAAGAUAUUGUUCCUCAAAGAAAUGAAAAAAAUGUUGGGAAUACAUAAGACAUCAUAACAGACACCAGCCUGAGUCGAAGCUGUUAAAGAGGCCAAGAAUUCCCAAGCUUUCCCAGGCAAACGGGGAAGAACACUGGGAUGCCUUUUCCUCCUCCUCUGUCCAUCUGCAGGCCAAGUGUGCAUCAGUCACAGGCAAACUCUGAAUUGAGCUUUGUGCAAGUCUCUGGAAAGAGACCCAAGAUCGUGUGAUGAGCAAAAGUGACAGUGCUGGAGGCAGCGACAUCUGCAGAGCCAGCCCCAUCCCUAUCUGCAGCAGAAUAUGUAUGGGGAUCCUUUAUGUGAACAAUCCACCCAGGGUAGAAUGGGGCUUUUGACAUCAGCUGAGACCCAGGCGGCCUUACAAUGAGAGGGCUGUUGGUCAAAGGAAGGACUGUUUAAUGAACUGAGAAUCUGAGGCCAGCUCUGGCCAUCUGCACUUGGAAUCAUUAGAGCAACUCUACUGUAACUGGCAACCUUGAAUAAUGCAGCAAAUUCAUAUUCCAAAAUUGUGAACUUUAAAAUUUUGUGUUUGUGUCUAUGAUGAAAAGCAUUAUAUAAACAUUUGAUACUACAAUUUUAUUAGUAA
rnacentral:lncRNA from 1 species